rnacentral:rRNA from 1 species
UACGGAGGGUGCAAGCGUUAUCCGGAUUUACUGGGUUUAAAGGGUGCGUAGGCGGACAGGUAAGUCCGUGGUGAAAUCUCUGAGCUUAACUCAGAAACUGCCAUGGAUACUAUUUGUCUUGAAUACUGUGGAAGUAAGCGGAAUAUGUCAUGUAGCGGUGAAAUGCUUAGAUAUGACAUGGAACACCAAUUGCGAAGGCAGCUUACUACACAGCUACUGACGCUGAGGCACGAAAGCGUGGGGAUCAAACAGG